CAGUCGCCGCGGGAAUACGGAGGGCGCGAGCGUUACCCGGAUUUACUGGGCGUAAAGGGCGUGUAGGCGGCCUGGGGCGUCCCAUGUGAAAGGCCACGGCUCAACCGUGGAGGAGCGUGGGAUACGCUCAGGCUAGAGGGUGGGAGAGGGUGGUGGAAUUCCCGGAGUAGCGGUGAAAUGCGCAGAUACCGGGAGGAACGCCGAUGGCGAAGGCAGCCACCUGGUCCACUUCUGACGCUGAGGCGCGAAAGCGUGGGGAGCAAACCGGAUUAGAGACCCCGGUAGUCCCUGUCUCUUAUAA
rnacentral:rRNA from 1 species